AUUGAACGCUGGCGGCAGGCCUAACACAUGCAAGUCGAGCGAGCGGCGGACGGGUGAGUAAUGCAUGGGAAUUGCCCAGUCGAGGGUGAUAACAGUUGGACACGACUGAUAAUACCGCAUAAGAUUGGAUUGCUAAGGUGGGAUUAGCUAGUGGGGAAGGUAAUGGCUCACCAAGGCGACGAUCCCUAGCUGGUCUGAGAGGGUGAUCAUCCAAACUGGAACUGAGACACGGUCCAGACUCCGACGGGAGGCAGCAGUGGGGAAUAUUGCACAAUGGGGGAAACCCUGAUGCAGCCAUGCCGCGUGUGUGAAGAAGGCCUUCGGGUUGUAAAGCACUUUCAGCGAGGAGGCGUUACUCUCAGAGGAAGCACCGGCUAACUCCGUGCCAGCAGCCGCGGUAAUUC
rnacentral:rRNA from 1 species